GCUUGAGAUAAUAUUCCAACAAAGUUACAUGUAAAAGUUGUAGCUGUUUAGGCAACCGAAAAGAGCUAAGACAGCUUUUCAGGACAUUGAACAGCAAGAAACGUCAAACGCAAAAAACAAACAUGGUCGAGUACUCAUUCCUACGGACGCCAUUUGGUGGUCGAGUGGGCCAAAAAUGACAGUAGCAUGGAAGAGAAGCAGCAUCAUUCAAUUGGUAAGUACCAAGAAAUGAGCUUCUAAAGAGGAGAACUGGAGAAGAACAGAAAUAACCACACUUUCUCUGUUAAGAAUUUGUGUUGACCACUGUGAUUGAUAAUUCUCAAUGCUUGAACUUUCGCUCUGUACUGGCUUAAUAUAUUAGACUAUUAAUUUAUGUUUUUAUUUUGUG